rnacentral:rRNA from 1 species
AUUGAACGCUGGCGGCAUGCUUUACACAUGCAAGUCGAACGGCAGCACAGGGGCAACCCUGGUGGCGAGUGGCGAACGGGUGAGUAACACAUCGGAACGUGUCCUGUUGUGGGGGAUAACCCACCGAAAGGUGAGCUAAUACCGCAUGACCUCGGGAGAGAAAAGCAGGGGACCCGCAAGGGCCUUGCGCGAUUGGAGCGGCCGAUGUCCGAUUAGCUAGUUGGUAGGGAAAGGCCUACCAAGGCGACGAUCGGUAGCUGGUCUGAGAGGAUGAUCAGCCACACUGGGACUGAGACACGGCCCAGACUCCUACGGGAGGCAGCAGUGGGGAAUAUUGGACAAUGGGCGAAAGCCUGAUCCAGCCAUGCCGCGUGAGUGAUGAAGGCCUUAGGGUUGUAAACCUCUUUCAGUAGGGACGAAGCGCAAGUGACGGUACCUACAGAAGAAGCACCGGCCAACUACGUGCCAGCAGCCGCAGUAAC